UACGGAGGGUGCAAGCGUUAUCCGGAUUCACUGGGUUUAAAGGGUGCGUAGGCGGGUAUGUAAGUCAGUGGUGAAAUCCCCGAGCUUAACUCGGGAACUGCCAUUGAUACUAUAUAUCUUGAAUAUUCUGGAGGUAUGCGGAAUAUGUCAUGUAGCGGUGAAAUGCUUAGAGAUGACAUAGAACACCUAUUGCGAAGGCAGCUGACUACGGGAACAUUGACACUGAGGCACGAAAGCGUGGGGAUCAAACAGG
rnacentral:rRNA from 1 species